UAAUACGGAGGAUCCAAGCGUUAUCCGGAAUCAUUGGGUUUAAAGGGUCCGUAGGCGGUUUUAUAAGUCAGUGGUGAAAUCUGGUCGCUCAACGAUCAAACGGCCAUUGAUACUGUAGAACUUGAAUUACUUGGAAGUAACUAGAAUAUGUAGUGUAGCGGUGAAAUGCUUAGAGAUUACAUGGAAUACCAAUUGCGAAGGCAGGUUACUACGAGUACAUUGACGCUGAUGGACGAAAGCGUGGGGAGCGAACAGGAUUAGAUACCCUGGUAGUCCACGCCGUAAACGAUGGAUACUAGCUGUUUGGAGCAAUCUGAGUGGCUAAGCGAAAGUGAUAAGUAUCCCACCUGGGGAGUACGCUCGCAAGAGUG
rnacentral:rRNA from 1 species